rnacentral:lncRNA from 1 species
UGCAUUUUCUUCAGUUUAUUAUGAGUAUUGAAAUUAUAUUUGUAUUUGUUAAAUCUUAGAUUUUUUUUUUUUUUUUUAAGAGAUAGGUAGCAUGCUACCCGUUUCGUUUAUUUCAUUUAGAAAUAAACUUAGCUAGAAAUGUGAAUCAACUAGGAUUGGAACUUGGGUCUCGGGUAUCAACCACCAAGCCCUUUGCCACUUGCUCUAGGGACGGUCGGUGUUAAAUCUUAGAUAUUAUUCAAUAAAAUAUAGGUAUAUAAAAAUUUGAACAGGAAUGUGAAAUUUUAAUUAUAUUAUUGUUAAUUCUAGUUCAUAUUCAUAUGCGUAUAUUAGAAUAUAUUAUUAUCCAAAUAAUAUUUCAUAUUCAUAUGCGUAUAUUAGAAUAUAUUAUUAUCCAAAUAAUAUUCAAAUACAAAUCAGAUCCAUAUCUGAAUCCGAAAAAAUAUUCAAUUAUAUUCUAAUUCGUUUUUAGUAGAUAUGGUAAUAAAAUUUUAACAUUAUAGAUAUGGUAAU